rnacentral:rRNA from 1 species
GACGAGUCUCACGAACGUUAUUCGGAAUUACUGGGCGUAAAGGGUGCGCAGGCGGCGUCGCAAGUCAGGCGUGAAAUCCCCGGGCUUAACCUGGGAACUGCACUUGAAACUACGAUGCUGGAGUAUGGCAGAGGCAGGUGGAAUUCCACGUGUAGCGGUGAAAUGCGUAGAGAUGUGGAGGAACACCGAUGGCGAAGGCAGCCUCCUGGGCCAAUACUGACGCUCAUGCACGAAAGCGUGGGGAGCAAACAGG